AGGGUUGACAAGGCGUGGCAAUGGGCUCGUGGCUGACCAGGCGUGCUUCAUUUACUGCAUGUGAUAGUUCCUAACAUCAUGGCCAACCUGGGCAGCGAUACUGACAGAUGGAGAAUAUUAGCGCUACAGAGGAGUUCAUACUCAGCUGUUGCCAGGUUGGAGCUCUGUUAGUGCAGCAGGUCCAAAGAACAGUGCCCAGCACUUAAAAGCCAACAAAAGCCUUUUUGUGAGGCAGGGAUCAAGUUGAAGAAUGGACAAGGGGGUCCGCUACUCGAGCCUUCUGCCUCCCCUGAGCGGAUAGUGUUGAGGACGUUUACACAGUUGUGAGUCUUGAUGGUGCGGCGGGCAAACAGAGAGUCUGGGUCAGACUGAGAGGAGCCAGAGUUAAUGCUGCAUCUGGGACCCUGACUGACUUCCUGAUGAAUGGCAAAUGUUGUAAUUAUCCUCGUUUCAGGACAAAGUCUUGGAAAAGCAGAGAGGUUUUUCUACAUCAAAUUACUAUACUGUACAUGCUUCUGUUUGAUCACAGUAAUUAUGUAUUACAAUAUAUGGAGGGAUUUUAGACUACUAGUAGUUCUCAAACGGUGUGUGUGUGUGUGUGUGUGUGUGUGUGUGUGUGUGUGUGUGUGUGUGUGUGUGUGUGUGUG